CGGGAAUUAGGGUAGCGGCUAACCCACCUGCUUUGGGAGCAGGGUUACCUCGGUUCGAGUCCGAGAUUCCCGA
rnacentral:tRNA from 1 species